UACGUAGGGGGCUAGCGUUAUCCGGAAUUACUGGGCGUAAAGGGUGCGUAGGUGGUUUCUUAAGUCAGAGGUGAAAGGCUACGGCUCAACCGUAGUAAGCCUUUGAAACUGGGGGUCUUGAGUGGGCGAGAAGAAGGCGGAAUGCGUGGUGUAGCGGUGAAAUGCAUAGAUAUCACGCAGAACCCCGAUUGCGAAGGCAGCCUUCCGGCGCCCUACUGACGCUGAGGCACGAAAGUGCGGGGAUCGAACAGG
rnacentral:rRNA from 1 species